UACGAGGGGUGCAAACGUUAUUCGGAAUCACUGGGCGUAAAGGGUGUGUAGACGGCAAAACAAGUCAGUUAUUAAAUCUCUUGGCUUAACCAAGAACCUGUAACCGAAACUGUUUUGCUUGAGGAUGGAAGAGAGAAGCGGAAUUCUCGGAGUAGCGGUAAAAUGCGUAGAUCUCGAGAGGAACACCGAUGGCGAAGGCAGCUUCUUGGUCCAUUUCUGACGUUGAAACACGAAAGCGUGGGGAGCAAACAGG
rnacentral:rRNA from 1 species